UACGGAGGGGGCUAGCGUUGUUCGGAAUUACUGGGCGUAAAGCGCACGUAGGCGGCUUUGCAAGUUAGAGGUGAAAGCCCGGGGCUCAACUCCGGAAUUGCCUUUAAAACUGCAUCGCUAGAAUUGUGGAGAGGUAAGUGGAAUUCCGAGUGUAGAGGUGAAAUGCGUAGAGAUCAGGAAGAACAUCGGUGGCGAAGGCAAUCCCCUGGGCCUGCACUGACGCUCAUGCACGAAAGCGUGGGGAGCAAACAGG
rnacentral:rRNA from 1 species